UAGUGUUUAUAAUCGAACCAAGCCAAAUAGAAGGUCAAAGACAGGAAAUGGAUCUUGCCAUGUGACUAUUAAAACCCGACCUGACUGAAAAUGUGGCUUUGUUCCCAUGGAAGCAAUGCUUAAAGGCCAUAAGGAUUCAUUUCUAAAAGAUUAAUUAGUGAUGAGGGACACAUGUACUUAGCUGGCCUUUUGUAUGAAAUAUCAAUCAAUUGAUUCCUGUAAGAAGCAUGGGGAAAGGGAGUGCAUCCAAAAGGCUUGGCUACUGAAUCAGGAAGAGUUAGCAACCAACUCAGAAGGAAAUCGAAGAGCUCUCUGACUUGGAGGAGAGCCUGGAAGACAGACACUUGAGGAGCGACCAGAAGACAGACACCCAGACUUCUUUCCAUUUAGAUGGUCACCUUUGGUGUACAUAAAGGCUAACUAUGAUGAAGACUACAAUGAAAUGAGCUGACACAGUGACUUAUUCUUGCAUUCCAGAAGUCAGAUUAAAGUGACAGUCUUCUGAAGGUGCUUCCUAUGAAAAUCUCUUCCAAUGAAGGGCACAGAGACAGCUUUAAUUCUGAUGUCUGCUCCUCUACCACAUCUCUUUCAGCCAUUCUUGCCUCUCAACGUCACUUCAACACGACAAAUUGAUCCCUUUGUUAUUGUUUGAAUCUCGGAGGACAGACCAAUUUGAAGUAUUAAAUACUGAACAUUAGGUUAGUCUUACAACCUCAUUGUUGUCCUGUUUUUAUAUCACCAGAUGAAUUUCUAACAGAAGAACCUAAAUGCAGGAAAUGUGUGUGAAAGAGUCCCAGAUAUGGUCUCUGGUUCUCAGCUACAGAGUUCUUGUUAUCUAUCUAUCACCCUGUUGUCUGCUCUGUUACUAUAAUUGCCUUAAUGUUUGCUGAGUGUUGUGAAUUCCUGCAGAUUUUGUCCCUGGGUCAUGAAAUCUGACAUUUGUUAAGUCCUUGGCACAUCAGCCAGACACAUUAAAGAGUGAGUUACCAAAUAUGUCA